AGUUAACCUGCAAACUAAGGAUCGUAGUUGUUGCGACGAAAUAAUUUCAACCUCUUACGCUGGCGAUGGCGGUUUAAGGGAUGAUCAUGUGUGCGAGUGUCUAUACGAUCCGGCAAAGCCGAAAACAUUUUUUUGGAGUUCGAGGAGCAGGCAAUAGGAUUUAUCAUAACCAAGGACAGAUAAAUUCUUUAGCUGAUUGAUAAGAAACAAUUCACCGUGUUUAAAUAGCUGCUGAAAGAACUUCUGUUUAAAUUCGUCCGAUUGCAACCUACGCUCCCGAACAGUAGUGGAACCUGCAAAUUAUCGCCCUGCAUCGGAGUCCGUGGCGGAAACGGAACAUUUCGGCAAUGCUCCGAAAACAACAAGACUACUGAGGAUGUUGCGCCAGUUCGGCAUUUUUAGAGCAACCAAAAGAUCCAGCCAUCAAAAAUAUAUCCAGUUGGCGGUUUUAUUUUGUUAAGUAGUUUUAGAACAGGAUUUCUGUCUAGAUUCCUAUACUUUUAUAAGGAAACAGCCUUGC